CAGACAAGGCUGUGUACUGCUCAGGCUUCCACUAUGACGACGCUUUGUGACAGGUAACCUACAAACUGUGAUUACAACAGACCAGGCUUCCUUUCUCCCAGGUCUGCAGGGGAGCCCGGCCCUCGCUCCAGGCCCCUGUGCACUCAGGUCCGCCCCAUUGUCUCUGUCCUGGGACCUGCGGCUGCCAGGCUGGCUCUUCUCACGGUGGAUGACAGCAGUGUGGAGGCCAAGCCAGACAAUCAGGCCAGGGGACAGCCCCCAUCAUGCCUGACAGCCGUGGGUCAAAGCCACUCACGUGGCUGAGCCCAGCGUCAAUGAUUCAGGAAAAAGCGUUCCGCCUCCUCCGGCAGGAAGCAUGGGCAGAGUGUGAAGUGCAGUCCAGACACAGGGAGGGAGUGGAAGGCUGCGGACUGGACGCCGCCCAGCCCUGGUUCCAGGGGGCACUCUGCCACUCCCCACAGCUUCCACGGAACACUCUGCCACCCUCCACAAGAGCCCCUGCAGCCAGCAGCACGCUGAGGUCUGCGCCUGCCAUCAGUGCCCCCCAGGUCUCCAGCAGUGGAAUGUGGGCCCCUCCUCCUGAUCUCCCAGGCUCUGGCCCAGCCAUCCUCCAGGGCCAGCCCUGCAGUCCCAUCCCAGGGCUAAGAGGGUGCCAUGGUCAUGCCCUGACGUGCCCAUGGAGAGGACAGAGGGAGCAGUGGCUUGCCCACCAGCUGCGGACUUGACACUCCCCACAGCCCCGUAGACUGGGGGUCUCACCAGGCCCCACAUGCUCUCCCACACAGGAGGUUUUAGUUCUCAAGAAAUGGUCACAAAACAAAUAAAGAACAAGGAAGCCAAGGUACAGAAAAGGGAUUUUUUGGCCAAAUGUAUGCAGCUGGUCAGCUGUCCUGGCUCUGGCAGCCCUGUGCCUCCCGCAGGACUCCUCACAGGGCCCUGUCCUCUUGCAUUUCCAAGGCAUGAAGGUCCUGCCAGGCGUGUGCACUUGUGGAUGCGUGUGUGAGAGUGUAUGUGCUGUGUGCACGUGUGUGUGUGCGUCUGCAUGUCUGCAUAGGUACUGUGUGUGC
rnacentral:lncRNA from 1 species